rnacentral:lncRNA from 1 species
GGAACACCAAUAGCAGCGUUGGAGCCUCUGGGCCGGAGGAACUGGGGCCUCCACCGACACCUGCUUGAGAAGAGGAGCCAAAACAUCAUAGUUGAACCGUCCUGGAAUAGAAACUCGCCCUGAAUUCUUUCUUGUGUGAAAUCCAAGAGCCCUCUCUUGGGGUUGGAUCGGGACCCUGUUCCUGUAACAAGUCCACAAUGCCAGAGAAUUAAAGAGAACCACAAAGUUUCUGCCAUUUCAGUUCCUGUUAUCGUGCUUUGAGGUGCACUGAACUGCAGCAAACCCAGGGGAUCCAAGGCUACGUUGAAAAGCCUUUGACCACAGUGCAGGGAGCAGAAGACAUUAAUGACGUGAUGUCGACACAGCCCGCACUCAGGAUCCUCCAGGAAAAGAACACAGAGAUAACCCCGGAUCGAUGGUACUUUUUGAAAAUGCUUUAUUGCAAAAGAGUGGCUAGGGUUUUACAAGGGCUAUGAAGAAACAUAUUAAGGUUAAUAAAGCUUUUUAUUGAGUGUUUA